CUCCACCUUUCCUCCCACUUUCAGCUACUCCCACCCAUCUAAAGUAGAGAUCAAUCACCACUUCAUUUCUCUCCACUUCCUUUCUCUCCUCAAGUCACGCUGCUUUCAAUCAAGAUUCAAGAAUUGGCAUACCUUCAUCACCUUCCUCAAGGCUUUAUGAACCAAGGGGAUUAGCGCUGCUUUCCCAAGACGAGUUUAUGUGAUUAUGAUCUUCAGGCUUUGCCUAUCCAGGUUGAGCAACUGAUGGAAUGGAAUGAUGUUGAGCGGGUGUUCCUUUGACAUUUCAAGAAAUGUAACCUUGAGUAUACAUCUUCAUAUGUAUAUCUCACACGUUUUCGCUGCAAAACACUUUGAUUAGGAUAACUCUAUGUUAUGAAGUUGUGACACGUGUUAUUGGGUAACCCACCUUAAUCAGUUCUCCUUUAUGUGUAUGUGUUAUAAGUAUCCAAAUGAUCAUAUAUGAUCCUAGCUUUUUAUUUAUGAGUGACAUUUCCAUAUACUUUAAUGUUAAGUAAUUGUCCAUUUCCA